rnacentral:rRNA from 1 species
GACGAACGCUGGCGGCGUGCUUAACACAUGCAAGUCGAACGGUGAAGCCCUUCGGGGUGGAUCAGUGGCGAACGGGUGAGUAACACGUGAGCAACCUGCCCCUGGCUCUGGGACAACCACUGGAAACGGUGGCUAAUACCGGAUGCGACCUACCUCGGCAUCGAGUGUGGGUGGAAAGUUUUUCGGCUGGGGAUGGGCUCGCGGCCUAUCAGCUUGUUGGUGGGGUAAUGGCCUACCAAGGCGACGACGGGUAGCCGGCCUGAGAGGGCGACCGGCCACACUGGGACUGAGACACGGCCCAGACUCCUACGGGAGGCAGCAGUGGGGAAUAUUGCACAAUGGGCGAAAGCCUGAUGCAGCGACGCCGCGUGAGGGAUGACGGCCUUCGGGUUGUAAACCUCUUUCAGCUCCGAAGAAGCGAAAGUGACGGUAGGAGCAGAAGAAGCACCGGUGUAACUACCUGCCAGCAUCCGCGGUAAUACGUACGGUGCAAGCGUUGUCCCGAAUUAUUGAGCGUAAAGAGCUCGUAGGCGGUGUGUCGCGUCUGCUGUGAAAACUCAGGGCUCAACUCUGAGCUUGCAGUGGGUACGGGCACACUAGAGUGCUGUAGGGGAGACUGGAAUUCCUGGUGUAGCGGUGAAAUGCGCAGAUAUCAGGAGGAACACCGGUGGCGAAGGCGGGUCUCUGGGCAGUUACUGACGCUGAGGAGCGAAAGCAUGGGGAGCGAACAGGAUUAGAUACCCUGGUAGUCCAUGCCGUAAACGUUGGGCGCUAGGUGUGGGGUCCAUUCCACUGAUUCCGUGCCGCAGCUAACGCAUUAAGCGCCCCGCCUGGGGAGUACGGCCGCAAGGCUAAAACUCAAAGGAAUUGACGGGGGCCCGCACAAGCGGCGGAGCAUGCGGAUUAAUUCGAUGCAACGCGAAGAACCUUACCAAGGCUUGACAUGCGCGGUGGAAUCCCAGAGAUGGGGUGUCAUUUAGUUGGUCGCGUACAGGUGGUGCAUGGUUGUCGUCAGCUCGUGUCGUGAGAUGUUGGGUUAAGUCCCGCAACGAGCGCAACCCUCGUUCCAUGUUGCCAGCACGUUAUGGUGGGGACUCAUGGGAGACUGCCGGGGUCAACUCGGAGGAAGGUGGGGAUGACGUCAAAUCAUCAUGCCCCUUAUGUCUUGGGCUUCACGCAUGCUACAAUGGCCAGUACAGAGGGCUGCGAUACCGUGAGGUGGAGCGAAUCCCAAAAAGCUGGUCUCAGUUCGGAUCGGGGUCUGCAACUCGACCCCGUGAAGUCGGAGUCGCUAGUAAUCGCAGAUCAGCAACGCUGCGGUGAAUACGUUCCCGGGCCU